UGAAGGUUGGGUAACACUAACUGGAGGACCGAACCGACUAAUGUUGAAAAAUUAGCGGAUGACUUGUGGCUGGGGGUGAAAGGCCAAUCAAACCGGGAGAUAGCUGGUUCUCCCCGAAAGCUAUUUAGGUAGCGCCUCGUGAAUUCAUCUCCGGGGGUAGAGCACUGUUUCGGCAAGGGGGUCAUCCCGACUUACCAACCCGAUGCAAACUGCGAAUACCGGAGAAUGUUAUCACGGGAGACACACGGCGGGUGCUAACGUCCGUCGUGAAGAGGGAAACAACCCAGACCGCCAGCUAAGGUCCCAAAGUCAUGGUUAAGUGGGAAACGAUGUGGGAAGGCCCAGACAGCCAGGAUGUUGGCUUAGAAGCAGCCAUCAUUUAAAGAAAGCGUAAUAGCUCACUGGUCGAGUCGGCCUGCGCGGAAGAUGUAACGGGGCUAAACCAUGCACCGAAGCUGCGGCAGCGACGCUUAUGCGUUGUUGGGUAGGGGAGCGUUCUGUAAGCCUGUGAAGGUGUGCUGUGAGGUAUGCUGGAGGUAUCAGAAGUGCGAAUGCUGACAUAAGUAACGAUAAAGCGGGUGAAAAGCCCGCUCGCCGGAAGACCAAGGGUUCCUGUCCAACGUUAAUCGGGGCAGGGUGAGUCGACCCCUAAGGCGAGGCCGAAAGGCGUAGUCGAUGGGAAACAGGUUAAUAUUCCUGUACUUGGUGUUACUGCGAAGGGGGGACGGAGAAGGCUAUGUUGGCCGGGCGACGGUUGUCCCGGUUUAAGCGUGUAGGCUGGUUUUCCAGGCAAAUCCGGAAAAUCAAGGCCGAGGCGUGAUGACGAGGCACUACGGUGCUGAAGCAACAAAUGCCCUGCUUCCAGGAAAAGCCUCUAAGCAUCAGGUAACAUCAAAUCGUACCCCAAACCGACACAGGUGGUCAGGUAGAGAAUACCAAGGCGCUUGAGAGAACUCGGGUGAAGGAACUAGGCAAAAUGGUGCCGUAACUUCGGGAGAAGGCACGCUGAUACGUAGGUGAAGCGACUUGCUCGUGGAGCUGAAAUCAGUCGAAGAUACCAGCUGGCUGCAACUGUUUAUUAAAAACACAGCACUGUGCAAACACGAAAGUGGACGUAUACGGUGUGACGCCUGCCCGGUGCCGGAAGGUUAAUUGAUGGGGUUAGCGCAAGCGAAGCUCUUGAUCGAAGCCCCGGUAAACGGCGGCCGUAACUAUAACGGUCCUAAGGUAGCGAAAUUCCUUGUCGGGUAAGUUCCGACCUGCACGAAUGGCGUAAUGAUGGCCAGGCUGUCUCCACCCGAGACUCAGUGAAAUUGAACUCGCUGUGAAGAUGCAGUGUACCCGCGGCAAGACGGAAAGACCCCGUGAACCUUUACUAUAGCUUGACACUGAACAUUGAGCCUUGAUGUGUAGGAUAGGUGGGAGGCUUUGAAGUGUGGACGCCAGUCUGCAUGGAGCCGACCUUGAAAUACCACCCUUUAAUGUUUGAUGUUCUAACGUGGACCCGUGAUCCGGGUUGCGGACAGUGUCUGGUGGGUAGUUUGACUGGGGCGGUCUCCUCCUAAAGAGUAACGGAGGAGCACGAAGGUUGGCUAAUCCUGGUCGGACAUCAGGAGGUUAGUGCAAUGGCAUAAGCCAGCUUGACUGCGAGCGUGACGGCGCGAGCAGGUGCGAAAGCAGGUCAUAGUGAUCCGGUGGUUCUGAAUGGAAGGGCCAUCGCUCAACGGAUAAAAGGUACUCCGGGGAUAACAGGCUGAUACCGCCCAAGAGUUCAUAUCGACGGCGGUGUUUGGCACCUCGAUGUCGGCUCAUCACAUCCUGGGGCUGAAGUAGGUCCCAAGGGUAUGGCUGUUCGCCAUUUAAAGUGGUACGCGAGCUGGGUUUAGAACGUCGUGAGACAGUUCGGUCCCUAUCUGCCGUGGGCGCUGGAGAACUGAGGGGGGCUGCUCCUAGUACGAGAGGACCGGAGUGGACGCAUCACUGGUGUUCGGGUUGUCAUGCCAAUGGCACUGCCCGGUAGCUAAAUGCGGAAGAGAUAAGUGCUGAAAGCAUCUAAGCACGAAACUUGCCCCGAGAUGAGUUCUCCCUGACCCUUUAAGGGUCCUGAAGGAACGUUGAAGACGACGACGUUGAUAGGCCGGGUGUGUAAGCGCAGCGAUGCGUUGAGCUAACCGGUACUAAUGAACCGUGAGGCUUAACCUUACAACGCCGAAG
rnacentral:rRNA from 1 species